rnacentral:rRNA from 1 species
UACGGGGGGAGCAAGCGUUGUUCGGAUUUACUGGGCGUAAAGGGCGCGUAGGCGGUCAGCACAAGUCAGUUGUGAAAUCUCCGGGCUUAACUCGGAAAGGUCAACUGAUACUGUGCGACUAGAGUGCAGAAGGGGCAACUGGAAUUCUCGGUGUAGCGGUGAAAUGCGUAGAUAUCGGGAGGAACACCUAUGGCGAAGGCAGCUCGCUGGGACGUUACUGACGCUGAGACGCGAAAGCGUGGGGAGCAAACAGG